ensembl:lncRNA
CUCCCCACCGAGUAGCAGCAGUCUCCGGGGUUCACAGCUCCCGUCAGCACCUGAUGCAGAUGCAUCUUCCUUUUUUUAAAUUAUAGCAGCAGAUGUUAUUCUUUUUAAUAAUUAAUAACUAGUCCACCCUUUCGGUUUCUCCAUCUAGCAACGACCGGGAGUUCCAUCAGUAAGGCUGGCGUUGUCCUCGUCCCGGCGUCUUCCUCCGCCAGCGUUCGCGUUGCGGUGAAUUGUGCGCGCGAUGCGUGUACAUGUAAUGUCUCCCGCUCCCGUCAUGUAUUUGAACGCAUUACAACUGGCCGCCCGUCGCCUCUCGCCGUCCACACCAGUCCUCCGAUUAGUCGUGAGAGCCGAGGCAGCGGGAUCUCCGCAGCGAACCUGACAUGCGCGUUCCCGACGAUGUCCAGGCACGACUGAACGGUCAUAGAAAAGCGCUGCAUAGAACCUUAGUGUCGGCUUCUCGUUCCUACUUAGUGCUCCAGUCGGGUUGUUUUUUGAGUGAAAAACGCCGGCAAUUAAGUUGUCCCGUAUGUUUUCUCUAAAUUACUUAAAAACCUACCGUAUUGCUUCACCGUGGUUCUCUCUUCCUCGCUGUACAGCUGCUCUAGCACUGUAUUUCUAUAUUCGCGGCGCACUAGUUUCGUGGAGCACCCCUCUGUCGGCUAUUGGAGUUCAUUGAUCAUAAAUGUAGCGUCUGGGGUAAAAACGUUUCUCUCAGUGAAAAUAAGUUAUUGAAUGAGGGAAAAAACUGUGAACAUAAGACAGCGUUACAGUGACGCAGAUAGCAGCCAUACUGAACAGUAACAACAGACAUAUGGAGCAGGAGUGCUUUUCUUUUGUAGGAUAGUGGACCUCUUCUCUUUCUCUUCAAGUCUAACAAUGUCAAAUGGAUAUUUUUUUUGACGCAUAGCAGUGCAUGUGCAAAACAAUAUCUGUUUACCAUUGUGAACCUGCACAUAGUUAAAAUGAAACAAUUUACUACAUUGUUAUCCCAGCUUCUGAUGUAAUGCAUUACACCGUAAUGAUGUGAUGAACAAUUUGAGGUCGUCACCGUGUUUUUUUUUAAUGCCAAAGUAGCUGGCGUCACAACCAUGACAUACAAUAUUAUGUCGUUGUUACUGUCUCUUUAAUAUCUCUAUAUUUAUGAAGGGAGGACUGACGGGGAUCCAUGGUGGUGAUACACAACCAACCAUCGUGGCCUUGUCCUGGAUAUUUAGGCCUCGCUGACAUCAUCAUGCGAGGCCUGCCUGCCAGCCACCGUGACACACAGGACAACAGAACAGAAAUUUCUGGAUGUGGUAGCCCAAAGAGGAUGUGACAUGUACGCAUAAAGAGUGUCGGAAAGAAUGAUGGGGCACACUCAUCCUGUAGCGCUUGUAUUGCUGUGGCCAUUUAGCAUUUGGUGACAUUUUUGAUCUGUGUCAGACUUUACAGCUGUUCUUGGCCUCAUGACUGAUGCUCAGUAAUAACUACUCGCUGUGCUCUUUUAGAAAGGGGAAAUGAAAUGGACGGACUGGAGAUAGCUCAAGAUGUUAAUCAAUCAAUUAAACUUUAUUUCAGACUCAGGGUCCACAUCAUGACGAGACAAUAAUAAAAAUACAUACAGAACAAAACAAAAAAAACGCACAGGGCUUUGGCCUUAUUUGGAGACAGCUGUGCCAAUGUCUCCACAUGGGACAAGUUGCGUGUACUAAAGCCUUACGUCUGUCAAAACCAAAAUCAUUUCAUUGUUAGACUCAUUAAGCCGGUAAUUACAUUUAUUCAUAUGGGUUUCAUUGAGACAGUUUGGAAAGUGUUGACUCCUGCGGUGACAAACAUUUCCCUGGCACUACUCCCUCUGGAUCUUUAAUAAUAUUCCCAUGGCAUCAUUAUGAGCUACUUUAAGCCUCUGUAAACUUGUGAGCAGUGUAGAGUGGUGCACAAUACGCUGUGAAUAGAGACAUCUUCCGAACUGAACUUGCAUGAGAGAGCAUUAGCUCGUGCAUACACCCUAUACAACAAGUAUCAGUGUCACCUCUCAUUGGUUCUGAUAAGAAACGGCCGAGAUAUUCUACUACACACACCAAUUUCUUGUUUCACUGGACAACUAGAAGCCAAGGAAUUUGUCACAUGUGUCCUCUUUGGUUCAAAAUGGCAUUUAACAUUGAGUGGUGAGCGUACCAGCAAACACAAAUUCUCUCACGGUGACUCGCAUUAUGUUACCCGUAAAUUGAAAGUCUGUGAAAUCUUGCCACAAAUCUUCCUCUCUCUGCUCCUUUGACUUUGAAUCAUUUUAAAGGCCACACUGCUGCUGUCGGGACGUGUGAACAAAAGACAGUCAGUGCAUCUUUCCCUGCUGAAGUCGUUCCCUUGCAGCACCUCUCUCUGAGAAAAUAAUCUGGCUAAAAUCUGAACAAAUAUAGAUGGCGUCCCUAUAAUUUAUGUGUGCAUGUGAUUAUUCUUUCGGCGACGGAGGGUAUCCACUUUAGAUUACUAAGAAACGGGGGAUUCAUCUCUUAAGUACUGGCGGUUUUCGUGCAGUUUUCCGAGAUCACUGCAGAGAAAACAGAGUCAACAACAGCAACAACAUCGGGUAUGUAAGGCUGCUCGAUUGCUGCAGUUUGAGGAGCCGAGUGUAUCUGGAACAUGAAGUGGGUGUGCACUGUAAGUGUGUGUCUGUGUGUGUGUGUGUGUGUGUGUGUGUGUGUGUGUGUGUGUGUGUGUGUGUGUGUGUGUGUGUGAGAGAGAGAAAGGGGCCCUGUGAGUAACAGCUACUGUACGUCUGUAUGUUGCAGAGGGGCUGGACGAAGGUUGAUGCAGGGUUUGCAGUCCCCUCCGGUGCCAUUGGGAGACACAGCCUUCAUCUACAGAGAACAGAAUUAAAUGCAUUAUAGAUUUUCUCAUUUCAUGGAUGGCUGCUUGCUGGAGGGAGCUCCGGUCUGGCCCCGGGGCGCGAGACAUUUCUGCUCCCCAGGACAAAAAGAAUGUAAUGGAGCAUCCUCACAAUCUUAAAUAAUUAAAUCAGUGCGUACUGUUGAACUUCACUGUCAUGAAGUUAUCAAUAUCGGAAGUUUGAGUCUUAUUUUCUUUUAUGCCAAAGCAGCAUGAAUUCUUCAAGGAUCUACAAUAGCUUUAACACAAUGUUAUCUGCUGCGUUCACAGUAAAUGAGGAAAAGUGAAUCUGACAUUGCAAUUGCACUUUUCAUUAAAACUCAUUGAUUAGUUUGAAUACAUUAAAUACUUUCAUAUUUUUUAAUCAAAUUUUAAGGAUAAUAGAAACACCAUUUAUAGUUUUGAAUAAAAAUAUGCACAAUAUAACGGAUCUAUAAGGAUCUAUAACGUUGAUUUGUUCUCUGAAAUGGGGAAACAGACAAUUGAAGAUGGCUUUCAGAACUGCUGCUAAAUGAACUUGACGAAAAGACAUAAAAACGUCCAAAUAUUUCAGGUGUCUCCUUGUGAAAUCAGGUGAUCUGAUCAGGUUUACUUUGUACAUUAAACUGGUCUUCAACUCUCUGGGUUUCUUAGACAAAAUGAAAGCUCGAGAGCAACUAACAUGAGUAACGUGCACAGUGCAUGUAAUUCAAUGCGCAAAGGACCUACGUACUCUACGUAUCAUGCAUUCCAAGUGUGUUCUUUUAUUUCCUCUUCAUCUCAUUUCCUCCUUGUCUCCUUUGAAAGGAGAUUAAACGGUUCAAGGCAACGGCGGAGAAGCCAUGCCGCUUCCCAAAGAAUACGACCCUUACACUCGAUUGGGCACAAAUCUCAUCCCAUCCGCUCAUGAGGAGUCAUCAAGGGCCCCGAAUGAGGCAGAAGAAGUGAGGGAUUUGGGUCGCAGGCUUAAAACAGGCCACUGAAGGGUUCUCCUGUUUAUUCAUGAACAGAUGUGUGCUACAUGUCUCCAGUCUCAGAUCCUGCUGAUGCCAUUGGAAUGCAACUCGGGAAUAAUUAGAGUAACGCGCUUUGGUCCUUCGACAUUACACGUCAUACUUAGAAACCACAGUACAUUGAUUUUGGCAUCAGUGUGAUGAUUACAAUGAUGAUAUUCUAUUUCAGGAAUAGCUUUUGCUUGAACGGUUAAAUAUCGCUACUUGUCUCAUCUUUGCUAGACUACUAAUGUGUAAUGUUUACAACACUUUUAUAACACCAACUCACAUUGCUCUAGCGCUGGGCACAUUUAAUGACCUCUUAUGUUCAAGUCCAUCAUCUCCGGCGCCUGCUCGAAAAAUAUGCUGAAAAUAAUAAAAAAAUAGUAAUCAAUGAUGGAUAGAACAUUAUUCUGUUCAAAUGUAAAGCCCAGCAGACGGGAGCAUGUAUCCCAGAGCAGAACAGUCCCAUUUCUUCAUCUAGACCCAAAGCAUCCCGCUUUCUCUUAUAUUUGGCAAAUAUUUGGCAAAAAUACAAAUGCUGCUCUUCCUCUGGUGAAUGCAGGUCCAUUACGACGUUUAAUAAAACCUGUCUGCAGUUACUUGUAGAAGGUGUUCAUGUGUAACACCUGCUUUAAUUUCUACUAUUCUUUAUUUUUUUAGGGCUCUAAUUGAAGUGGCUUUUGUGAACAACAAUUUAGAAAGAGGGCUGAUGAAUAAUGAAUGCAUGAAUUCGUGUUUCAGAAAUGUACAAAAAAGAGUCUGUAUCCUCUGCAGUGCGGCAUCUAGAGGGCGGCCGAGGCCUCCGCACGACGGGAUGCUGCUGUUUUCUUGUCUGUCGUGGAGGAAAGAUGCUCUCAAGUGGUGCUCCUCACGUCCGCUUCAGUGCUUCUUUCAGCGGCCCCCGUUUCCUUAAAGCGGCCGAGUGCACCUACGUCUCCUCCUCCCUCGGCCGUUUUGUGAUUCUGCCGUGAACGCGUUCACACCAUCUGGUUCUCACCCCGCUGUCGCUUCCUUCCCUCCUAACCAGCCCGUAUCUCUUCCUGGCACACGCAGGAGUCGGCUCAGACUCUCGGAGGUUUGCGUCUGCGAAAGAUACUGAAGAUUGAUGGCGGCUGUUCCAGAGCGCCGUCUCCUCCGUCGCCCCUUCUUCUCCAUCGCUCUCUCCCUCUGCACUCGUGUCGCUUUCCCUUCCUCCUCCAGCUCUGAGGAAGGUCGGCCUCUCUUACUGUGGUUAAACUCGUCCAUCCGUCUCUCGGGCUCACCUGUCCAGCCGGCCUUGGGCUCGCUGAUGAAUGUCUCGCCCCUGCAGUUGUUUCAGGGAUGAUUCACUGCCGCCGCUGUGAACGAUUUCCUUUCCUGUCCACAGGUUCAGAAUCCCAUUCAGGCAUGUCCCUGUGAUCUGUAAAUCUAAUCUAAUUGUGUGUGUGUGUGCAGGUGGGGGAGAGUUCGCUCACGCGCAUUUGGGUGGUGGAAUUUCCUUUGCCCCUUUGUGCUGCAAUGGGAUUACCCUUUUUUUAAUCUCCUCUUUAUUGAGCUUUAUUGUGUUUCUCUGUCUCAUUCUCGUUUGGACCACAUCCUAACCCGUUCUAUUUGGGGCUGCGGGAGUGUCUGUCUGUGCGCGCACGCGUCUAUUUUCCAAGCACCUUUGCAUGUGAGUGAUUUGCUGAGUUAUUCUAUGGAUAUUACAGUAUGUGAUAGAAGAGCAGAUGGUGGGCGUGAGCAGAUUUCUACGCUCGGCUCUGAAGUGUAAGGAGAAGAUCAAGGGCUUGGCAACAAGUACACACACACACACACACACACACACACACAGACUCCAACCAAAGCCCAUAAUCCCGGAGUUGCAACAGGUUUUUGCAUCAUUGUGACAGAAAGCGACAAUAUAAAAGACAACUUUUGUUCAUUUGGUUCAUAUAAUGCGUCGGUGUUCUAUACAUACUGUUCAUACCUCAGAUGACUUUGUCUUUACCGGUGCACAGAUAUCUGCAAGUUUGCAUGUCAAUUUAUUUCUGUGCAAAUUUAACCAUUUACAAAGGAAAGGGGAAUUUCACAAAUCAAAGGUUGCAUCAUCGGGCCUCAGCUGACACUGUGAUCGGAAUCAAUGUUCAAUGUUGAUUCGGAUCAAUGUUUUCUAAUGGAGAAUAAGGAUCAUUUUAUUGUGUACAUAUUGUAGUAGAACCCAUAUCAGAUGGUUAGGUUUCUUUUUUGACUUGCAGGUGCGACAGUGUAGAGCAGACAGGCAUCUGUAUGCUGUUGAAUGACAGACUGUGAGUGUGAGGGUCAAAGGUCAGGCGAAAGCCACUGUAGAAGAAGUUGGGUACCUGCUCAAACAGAGGAGCUGCUGCCAUUGAACUAUGCACACACGGACAACAAAAGAACGUUCUGAAAUACAAAGAAGAAGGACAUUGUGGAAACGCUGCUGUGACCGUGAUCUUUCUAAACAGUCACAGCAGUUACAGUACUUUGAAGCCAGUGACAUUUCUCACAAUAUUUCCUCCCGACCUCGUUGUAUCAAAUCAGCAAAACAGCAACAGAGAAGCAGGAAGAUAGCUAUGAAAAAAUAAAAAUACAAAAAUCUGGUUCUGUAUCUAUAAUUAAAAGAAAUGUAUAUUUAUUUUGACUUUUUGACUGAUUACACAGUGAAAAAAAAGAUUUUGAUGCAAUACAGCAUCCAUGGCAGAGGAGGGCACUGUUGACUUGUGAUACAAUCCAGACUCGGAUGGUCGGAAACCCGCUCAGUGUGGUUUUAGUUGAGGAAUAAACUACACACAGGAGGUUAUUUCCUCGUAAUGUGUGGUGCCUGACAAUACACCAUUCACGGGCCAGUAGUUGCAGUAGUAGUAGUAAAUGUGUAUUUUUCUACGCUUGUAAAAUGUAUUCUUGCUGCCAAAUGUGUUUACGAGGGAUUUUACUGCAGUGUGAGUCUGAAUGCAUCCGGUUAUGUGUAUUUGUUUUGCAUGCACAUAUGCAGAAUGCAUUUAGGUUUUACACAGGCAGACGGAUUAACCCCAGGAAUGUAGGAGCCUAUAGAGGAAGAGGAAAUUAUUACAACACAUGGUGCCAAUGCUGCUGGGCAACUUGGCCUCAUCCUCCCUUUCAGUUCACAUCCGGCUCUGUUGGCUCAACAACCUACGAGGUGAUUACCAGCAUACUAUACAUUACGGAAGGACACCAGAUAGAAAGAUCUGGAAAGCAAACCCACAGAGAUUCUUUCUAAUUGGCUUAGAAGUAAAGAAGGUUAUUAAUAUACCUCCAUGUGGCCAUAUUGUUUUUAUAGAAAAUGUGGAAGCAACUUCAAAGCUUUUGUUUUGGUCGGUGAUGACAAAGUGAUGAUAACCCUCAUGCUUCAGUAGAAGGGACUACAGCACCAAUGUAGUCUUUGCCUUUUUAAGGCCUUAGUCAUUCUUUUAUAGUCCACAUUGUGUGGCCAACAGUAUUUAACAGAAACUAAUUUAGUUAGAAAUGAUACUCAGGUUUAAAAAAGCUUCUUUUUUUUAAAUGGAGAUUAGAUUCAAGAGGAAACGACUGCAAUAAUAAAUGGCGUUUUGUGUUAAAUGGUUCUGUCUGUGCGUGGCUUUGUACUCUGCCUGGUCAUCAAUCUGAACUAUCAGGGCUGAUAAGGUGCUUCUAAAGAGAGAGGCGACUGAGAGAUCACUCUCACACUGAUAUGUGAGGGAAAGACAGUGUGUGAGGCCACUUGAAAAAGACCUUGAGUUUGACGAUGGCCAUUCUGCAGCUCUUGUAAAUUGUUAAGGAAGCUCAUAAUAGACUCCUUAUCUCAGCUGAGGAGACAAUGAAGCCUGUGAAGAGAGAGGGACAAACAAAGGGGAGAGGUCUAUGAAGUGAGGGGGGGGGGGAGGUGAAGACUAUUCAAACAAGAGCUAUUAGGCUCUGGCAUGAAGACGAGAGAAGUCGCAGGGAGAUGAGAUUCAAUCCCAGGUGCUAAAAAUGAGCGGUGAUCCCUUUCAGCGCGUUUAACCUGCAACGGUUAAUGGAAGUCAAUAAAAAUGUGGGUUUGAUAAAUGACUCUCUUUCAACAAACAUAUUCCCCAACAAGAGCAAGCCAUUUUUUUUUUACUCAUAUGUAUAAAAGCUAGUAAAUUAUAUAGAAAGAGAUUUGCUUUCAGUGUUUAUGGAUUGGAGUGUUAUUUGUAUGACACACUGCGGCAAAUAAAACUUAAUUACGCUCUAAUGAAGUAAUUAAACGCUUCAGAGACGGGGAUGAAAGGCAAACGGGCCGAACGUUUCUUACAAUCAUCAACGUUAUCGCGGCCUGUAGUUUAAAAACACGUGUGUGUCAGUCAUCCUUCCACAUCGCCUCGUUCAUUUUGAGUGACACGUGUUGAUUGGUGGGACUGACAAGAAGAGAACACCAGGCUUAUUGGGAUCAUUUCCCUCGACGGCAGGUGCUGUGUAAUGAGGGCGCCCAGCAGGCCCGGCGGUCGAGCCUCGAGCCGUUCGGCCGACCCACGUGUGUCGCAGCCGCGCGGUCCGAAGCAGUCGCUCCCUCCUCUUUGUACUAUGUGGGCCCCUUGUGACAAACCCCGUGUGACUGUUUUGAAUAGCAAAUGGGUGAUGAUAAUGCUCCAUUGUGGGAUAACGUUUUUCAUGACGAUCGCUGCGAUCAGACUGUGUCUCACCACGACCACCAGAGGGCAGUAGAGGCCAGGGAGUAACUACAAAUGACUGUGAGUGACAUUUUAGGCGUUUACUGAUAAUCAUUAGAUUUCUCUAAUACAACGACAUGCAGCGCUUUUAAAAAAACUGGAUUAUUUUUCACUUGACCCACACGGAAAUCGGAUGUAAUCUGACGGGACGGAAUUAAAUAGAAGUUUGCCAUCUCAUGAAGCUUUUUUUUUUAAAAUCUUCUCCUUAUGUCGAUUGAAGGACGCUGCCCUUGACCCUUCUCCACUGUGCCUGGUAUCACUUCUAACCUCCCAAUGGGCUGAUGUCAGAGAUCCUCCCACAUGUGUGUGUGUGUGACUCACAGACGUUAACAAGAGCAAGCGUUGCCCUCUCGGAAGCUAGCAGUCGUUUUGUUCCUGUGAUUAGACUGUGCUCUAACGUGAUACCUAACCAUAAUCACCUCGUAAUCACGGCCUCCUCCACCCCCCUUUUGUCCCCUGCACCUCUCUCCUUCCCCAUUGCGGCACCCGCUUGCCUCUUGUCUGUUAACGUAGUGCAUCCUCUCCACCUCCCGGGGCCCUGGUAUGCAAUGCCAAUGCACCUGGCCUGUGCGAAUGAGCAAUGAGUGAGAGGAAACCGCGGAGCGUGCAGUGGCUGGGGGCACACGGCAGCCAUUACGGGGCUAAAGCACCGCCAGCGUGCUUGAUGAGGGGGAACAACGGAGCCUCGCCCUGGGACACUCCAUUAAACUCCCCCUCUUUGUCUUUCUGUCUUUAGCUUUGUACGGACACACACACACACACACACACACCGAAGCACACGUGCAAUUCCGUGUGGGUCUCCGGUGUGUUGCUGCGAAUGUCUUUCAUCUCAUUUUAUUGGGUAAGCCAUCACCUGGACAAUGGUGUAAGCAGCAGCAGCAGCAGCACCUCCUUCCUCACCGCAAUAUGUUUUCACAUAAGCACCUCUCAAGAGGCGAUACUUUUUUAAGCCGCACUAAUAUGCAACAUGGGAAAAAAAAGCGUUGAGCUAUUUGAUGUGAUUGAGUAUCCAAAUCCCAACACCAAAGUGCCAAGUUUAGACUGACUUGAACGCAUAGAGACAUUUAGGGGCUUUUGCAGGGUGUGGCACUCAGCUUUACUCGCGAACCUCCAACGAAAGACAAAAUAAAAAUCAAUAAGAGCUUCUGAGAAAGGCUCGGAGGAUCACCUUUCAUAGCUGAGGAUAUUGAUCAUGAAUAAUGCUUGUUUGCAAACAGUAGAGCUGGGAUUGCUUAUUGCGGCACCCUCGCUGCAACGACAAUAUCAUUUUUCAGCGUUGAGAGUUGGAAAAGUUUUCCCUCAAUGAAUGGGAAAUGGGCCAUGAAAAUAAUAGUCUUAACUAUUCAAAACACAUUCCUUAAAACUAAAAUGACCAGGUGGGCCGAACACUGACCUCCCGACGUGUUUCGUUAUUCAACUGGAGUUAUGAGCAUGCUUAGGGGUUAAUAAAAGUCUUCUGGUCCUAUGCUACCUUUGCAGUUGAAAUAUGACAAAGCUCUUUUUAAUGAGGAUGUGCUACUGUUAUUGCUUUUUAUUGGACUCAUCUUUCAUUGUGAAACUUUUAUUGAAAAACUUUUGUAGAGGAUUUUCUCCAUCUCUUUCUCAGUCAAAUAAUUGAAUUCGACCAAAAGAGUAAUCAUAGAUUUAAAUUAAACUUUGUGGCAAAACCUAAAGAAAGACAGCGACGCGGCAUUUUUAGAACAGGUCCUUAACACAGAAUUACAGGGCGGCAGUUGGGCCAACCUGCAUUGUAAUUCAUCAUUCAUUUUUUUAUUACUAAGGUUAUACAAAAUGUUUCACAGGUGACACCUAAAGAUUCCACUGGUUUCCCUGAAUGCCUACCAAGUGCUUGAAAGUACGAAUCCCUAAAUGCACAUGGUUUUGAGAACUGGCCUUUUCAAACCUCACUGUUUGGGGUUUGCAUCUGCAGCUGGGAGGGGGAAUAGUUUGUGAAUAGCGAAAUGUGGGAUCAACAAGUGAUGUGCAUUGAGAGCCAAGCGGCUGAGACGUCAGGUCGUGAAAGUUAUGAGUGUUAUGAUGUCGUCAUUUUAUCGCCGUUCCCUGUGGCCUGAGAAUACAAACUUGAUGCGAAAAACAUCUGGAUUUCUUCUGGAUAAAGGGAGAAUACCCUGAACUCACCACAAUGGCACAAAAAGUAUGAAUUUUCCAAAUUCUGUGCGUGUACCUUCUUUGAUACAAAAUAAUAAUAAUAGAAACUGCAUGAUGUUACAGCACAGAGUUACACGGGUUCCACUGACACACAAAAAAGAUAAUGAUCUUCUUCCCUUCAGCACGGAAAGGCGUCUAAAAUGCAAAUCGCAUUGACUCAAAUUCAAAUGUGUCUCCUCAAAAAACAGAUGAGACCUGAAGGCUGAAACAAAUCCUCAUUUCAACAUUCUGGACGGCGCGCAUUUCUCUCGAGGUGACACCUUCAACGUGAUACUCAUACAUCUGUGACCCGAACAGCUUUUGGCACGCAGAGAGGACUUUUCGUGAAGAUCUGUGUGGACUCCGAAGUACAUGUCCGGAACAAAAAUAGCCGAGUGAGCAGAACGAUGUGCUUUCUUUGUGCGGUUAAUCAUCAUCUGAUGGGCGUAUUGAUUUGAUGUUGGAACAGUGCUCGGUGUGUUUGAGUGGGCCAGUGUGUGUGUGUGUGUGUGUGUAUAAGCUUACAUGCCUGUGCUUACAUUGGGGCUGUGCACUAAUUGCUUGUGAUAAGGAGAUAUACUUGUUUUCUGGGAGAGCUGCGAGAACGUAGAGGACAUCAGAGGACAUCAGUGUGUCCUCACCAGGCUUAUCCUCACGCUGUGUCUCGUUCUCUUCUCAAGUUGCGACCGUCUACAAACACAAGCCGGUUUCCCUCGUCAUAAAUAAUAAAAAGAGCGCGCUGAUUGUCGAUAAACCAGCCGUGCUAUGACCUGAAUUGUAUAAAACAUUAAAAAUAUGUAUAGCUGAACAGGCCGAAGGCUAAAUGUUCUUCCUUUGACACUCGCCGAACUUUAUGUUAAACCGUUACGCUCCAGAGAGAAUGCAUGAUGCAACAUCUGAACAUAACUCAGCAAUAUAACCACAAUUAAAAGCAGGAGCACCAUCUCAGUGUCUCGUCCCCCUGACACCCGUUCAGUGACGUUCCUUUCCUAUUCACAUCUAAAUAAUUCCCUCUCAUGAGGCCACCUCGGCGAGGACGGCCCCCAUCGGGGAGGAGCACGCUGCUUGACGCUCCGCUCAUGAAAUAUUGACUGCAGGUAAGGAGCCGCAGAGCUGUUGAUCCUGACCACGGCUUUGAGAGUGAGUGAAAGCGCCGCAUGUUAGCAUGUUAGCAUUUUAGCGAGGGUCCGCAUGUCAAGGACACGGGGGGGGGGAUUGGCAUCCUAAAGUGAAUCCGUGUUUGGCUCAUCAAACUGACCGGAAAGACACGCAGGUCGCUGGACCGGGGUGUGUGUGUGUGUGUGUGUGUGUGUGCGUGUGUGUGGGUGUGGUUGUGUUGAGAGGAGAUGGGUCAGAGCACUCAACAACCCCCCCCCCCUCCCGGCCCCACUCAGGCCUCUAACGAGGGUCUCCACCCCAGAGAUCCCUUCACACCCACGGGGAAGACUAACCAACUGCUUCCCGUAUUGCUUCUGCCAUGACUUUGAUGUAGUGUGUGUGUGUGUGUGCAUGUGUGUGUGUGUGUGUGUGUGUGUGUGAAACCUUUUUAAAGCCGUGAUUAAAACAGACAGAUUCAGCUGGUACGCUGAUGUCAGACAGGACAAACAGUUUGGAUUUGAGGAUUGCCGGGCUAAUUGGGACCCUGUAACAUGACGUGACCUGUCGCACCACCUUCUUUGUUUGGCAGCUCAUUUUAUUUCCCUAAAUGUCUACGACUAUAAACCCGAAACUAGAGGGCAGUAUGAAUAGUAGAAGAUGUAGAUUUCUUAAGAUAAGAUAGUCCUUUGUAAGUCCCACCGCGGGCAAAUUAGCAGUAUUACAGCAUCAAAGGGAAUGUGCAAAAGUGUAAUGUCAUAAAACAACAAGAAAUUAGUAAAUAAAACAGGGCAUGUAGAAAAGAUCAGUAAACAAUAAAGAGCUAAAUAUAAAAUAUAAUUGUUGACAGGCUGGUUAAGUUCACUUUGUUGCACUUAUGAAAUAGGAAAUGUUGAUUUUUCAAAGAAUAGUAACGAAACAAACCGGUUGUAACACAGAUAUUGAUAUUGCACAUGAAUAAAUGAAUAACUUGUCAGUCCUGGUGUUGGAGGUCUACUGGGAGCAGUGCUGAUGAUUACAGAGGUUUGUCGAGGAUUAAAGAGACGUGCAAAGCACGAAGGGAAUGCGAGCCUCUCUUCUGGCAACAACGAUUGAUUUGACUUUUAAACUGCUCACUACUGCCUUGUUCCCGUUGUUGUAAACAAGUAUGCUUUAACAAAAAAAAAUCAAUUGUUUGUCAUUUUAUCAAUCGCGCCAUUUCAAAUGUUUCCCCCUCAUAUAAACAACACACAACUUGUACGUUGCACAUGGAAUGUGGUUCACGCGCGUUGAGUCAAACGUGGAGGAUGUGUGGAGGAAUAAAAGUCCUCGGAGCCUGUUCCUUAUCUCGCUGCCUCUUCAGCCAGGAAUCCCCUGCAGGUCAAUGAUCUGUUGAGACUGUUUAUCUUUUCGCUGCACCGUUUAACUUUAAAGUUAAACUAUUACCUGAUUCAGUCCUCUGCCGAUGCACGAGGAUUGAUAAACUAUCCUGUACCAUCUUUCCAGUCUCCAAUGCUUUAUCAGCAUCCAGUUACUGCGGCACGGGAAACAAGAGCAAACUCACACAACCUGCAAAUAUGUUCGAAAGUGCGUGAAUACAAAGAAAAUCUAAAGCAAUCCACUCCAAAUCAAUAUAGAUAGCAAAUACCAAAAGCCAGAAAAGCAAACCAACACUGUAAAUUCACGUACAAUUGAUCAAUAACACUACUAUUCCUCUGUGACUGUCCUUGAUUUGAUUAACAUCAAAUGGAACAAUAAGACUGGAGAGGCCGUGGUCUACAGGGACUUCAGAACAUCUAAUGUGCUGCUGCUACGCACUCUGUGUAACUCACAUCCUUAAGUGGCUAAUUGCUUUUGUAGAAUACUUAAAACACACCCGGCAAUGUUUCAUAAAAUAAACACACGGCAACAGAACAAUUAUCAAUAAUGACCAAUCAGUCUUCUGCAAAGCAGUGUUCUUCGGGCAACAUCAGCAAAACGGUUGCCAAGCAACACACAGAUGAAGCAGCACACAGACGAGGUGGAAAACAUGCUUAAAGGUUGGGGGGGGUAUUAUUAACAUGCAGUCGUCAUUUGGUUUUCCAGCAGCAAUCAGUGUGUGCACACCACUUGCAAACGAGAAAAAUACAAUGUGUCACGACUAGAUGUGACAUUUGGAAACACAACAAAAGUGAUCGUAGUCGGCGCCGUGGUACAAAAUGAAUGCGGCCCCCGCUCUGUGUUCAUAAAGUUUUAUGCAUAGAGUUUAUAUUAUAAGCGACAACUGGAAAUAUUGGUGUUAUAAGAGCUGGAUUAAAGCUUUUUUCUCGUUUCAUGCCUCCAUUGUCAUCCAUUGUGAUUGAUUGAAUAUCUCCAUAGUUGAGCAGAGUUAUUUUAAAUGAGUUGAUAAACAAGUUAUUUGAUGUAUUAUUGGUUUAGCCUGCUGAAAUAAAAGAGAAACUCUGCUGUCACUGAGCUUGAGGAAAUCCCAUUUAUCAUUCUUAAAUGAAACAUGUUCAGUGAUUUCAUUUGAGUUUAAAUGAAUGCUCUUUAUUCUCUGGGAAUGUAAAACAAGUCUUUUUUAUUUUUGUGUGGGUUUGUUGGUACAACCGGGAGCCCUCCCAGCCGCCCGUGUCUCUAUUCGGCCUCUCCGUCCUCUUUGUCUUCUAUCCGACCGCAACCCCACUCGCCAGAGUGUACUCGCGCACACAACUGUGGACACACACUCGACUUACACAGAGGCUUUGGUGGCCGAAAGUGUUCCACUGUGUCUUCCUCCCCUAAUCUAAAACAUCUGGUGAUUGUAAAGACGUCCGCUGGAACCAGAGCAGAGUGGCUCGUAGAGAAUUUACAACUUUGUGCAUUAGACACGGUUAAAUACACACGAGUGUAGAAUGUGAACUGCGCCCCCCCCCGCUGGAUAAAUAAUGAUCGCAGGCUAUUCUUGGAUGGGUUAGGAAACAUUUCUGAGGCAGUUAAUGUCUAAGCUGCAGAAACAGAGUAGGUCGGGGGGUCACAGGGCGCCAAUUUCCCCCUUUAAGUCAAACGCUAGGAAUCGUGAACCAAUCGUUAACAGGAAACGCGGAGGGAGGAAUCAGAGGUGAAGCAGUUUGGAGACUGGUAAUAGAAUCAGCGCGUGUUGUCCCGACAUUUUAAUGCAGCAAUUUCCUACGGUUAUAAUUUGCUCUAGUUGUGCAGUCUAUUCAUUCACCACAGCUAUUUCUACUACGUUUGUAACCUUAUCUUAAGGCAGCAUUAAUAGACUGGAAAAUGAACACUCCAUGUGAGAUGGCAUUUGAAUUUACAGUAUGGGUGAUUUAGCACCUACCGAUUAAACGGACAAGAUUAUUUUCAUUAUUAUUAUUAAAACCAUUAGCAGUAGUGGUGCAUGUCUCAUAAUUCCAGCGUGGUAUUAAGUGUCACAGUGGAAAAUCAUAGUAAAUCAUUCCAUUCUCUGCUUAGCAUGCUUGUAGUUUGCAUUUAAAAACAUUUAUCUGUGCAAAAAAGGUUUGUUCUCAAUCAAGUGACGAGUGAACGUGUCAAAUUCACCCACUUUUUUUAGUAGAUUAAAUCAUAAACUGGGAGAUAUGACUACUUUCCCAUCUCUCCAGGUCAAGGGUCACAUCAUAGGAGUUUAUCCUAAGUGGACCGAGAUGAGCAGAGCUGCAGUUGAUUGUGAUGAAACAGCUUUCGGUUCAAUCAAAUGAUCUGCUCAGUGACAAAACACAGAAUAAAACUACGCCUGCCUUCACCUUUCUCACCUCAAUUAUUUCCCAUACCAACCUCCUGAGUGUGUCUGCUCCCAACACACACACACACACACACACACACACACACACACACACACACACACACACACACACACACACACACACACACACACACACACACACACACAUGCACAGACUCCAAUUAGUCCCUCCAACACAUUUUGUAGUGCCCCUUGACCCCUUUCCGUCCUCUCUAAUAAGAACGGCGCAACCCGGCAGAGGUAUGAAAUCUGAUGUAAUCAGAAGUCAAGAGAGCCAGUCCAGUGUGUGCGUGAGGAGUUUUACAGGGAGCAGCCGGAAUUAUUUAAUCCGCAAAACUAAAAUGAGGCUGAGAGAAUAUAGAAUGAAAUAUCUACACAGCCCCGUUUCAUUUAUCAUGACGCGGCGGAGGCACUUUGCAAAUAUGAGCUUUGCGAGAUUUUCUUCUUGUAUUCACGCUGGGCAAAACUUAAAUGAAAAUGUUCUAACGUCAAAUACCACAAUGCAUUCGCACAUCCUGCCUGAUUUAAGAAAUUUCACUUAUUUCAUCACAGCUCGACUUGGGAGUUAAAAAAGAAAAAUAGAGUCUCACUUGUUUUGGUUAGAAGUUCCUUAAAAUACGAGUGCAAGUAAUGAGACAGCCCCUUGUGUUGAAACAAUCGGGCUUUUCUGUUUAGUCAGACUGCAGAAAGAAUAAAACAUUCUCUGUUAUCUUAGACUGCAACAGCUGCAUGACUCUUCACUCUGCUGCCUGGAGAUCACCCUCGGUUCUGCUGAGACUCCGUCCCAGCUGUGUGUUGACAGGCCGAGUGCACAAACAGCUAAAAGGUGUUUUCCCUCCAGAUGCAGCGUGGAGGGAAGUUGCAAAUGACUCUCUCAUAUUUUGCUUUUGUCUCUAUAAAGCUGUCCAAGCAGACAUUGUGAGUCAUCUUUGUAAAAUCUUCAUAUACUGCAAAACCAGCAAACAAACAAUGCAUGAGAGGUUUUUCCCGCUUAGAUGCAUGCAAACCUUUUCCGUUUGCGUGUUUACAUUAUGAAACUACUCAGAGCACAGGCACAAUUGCAAGCGUGGUCAGUGCAACACAAGCAUUGCCUUCGUUUUAUAUCAUGAAUAACAAAUGUAGUGUCGUAAGCAGCAAACUUAAUUAUUCAUCAACCUGAGCGCCUCGCAAAUGAAGCUGAUGAGGCAGAGGUUUAAAUUUAGCUCACUAAUUUGCUGUGUAAAUGGGAAGUUUCCAAAUAGCCAAACCCCAUUAGGAAGCGCCAUCGUGACUCAGUGUGGGAAAAGAGAGAGACACUGAUGCAGAGGUGGAAACAUGAAUUGGUGCUAUCUUAUAAUUUUACCGGUGUUCCCGCUGCUUCAUAGAAAUGAUAUACGUGGCCUUCGAGGACAAAUUAAAAUGAUAUUUCAACAGCUUUUUCCAACAAUGAGCCCCCGUGAGGGUAGCUAUCAAACUUUGAUGGUCAUCAAGAUGGACCUUCCGGCACAGACACACUGUGAACAGCAGCGGGGAACCAUGGCAACGGCAGUAACAACACUGUCAUUAAGUGAUGCAGUAGAUGGAAACAGCAACAGUCAACAGUGUCUCGAUAUAGAGGCGCUCUGCAGGAGUAAAGCACGACAAUCUGAGCCGUGUGCUUUAUGCACUUGUAAACUAACAGGUGAUCUUUACUUAUUUUGGAAGAGUACAACUGCCCUCCGGUGUACGCAGGCGUGUGUCGACUGUGUCGUUUUUUUUACAUCCAGCCAGCUUUUUUUUGCACGAGCUAUCAACUGGGAACAUUUCUGCUGAAUCCGUCAACAUGCUGACAGUUAGAACGUUCGCCUGCGAAGCCCAAUCUCGAAUCUUGUCCCUGUCUUUUUGAGUAGCCUUCACUUUUUUGUUUGAGAUGCUGUUGUUUUUUUGGAGGAGCCCUCCGUUGACGUUUGUCUAGACUUGCCUGUUCGCCGAAAAAUGUUAUUUCAUACAAUGAAACCGCACUGUCAGUUUUAUUUCGGUUCUCCUUUGAAUUACGUUUGUGUAUCGAAAAUACACUUUGACCCAAGAGGCCAUUAUGCUUUUUAAUUUCAUAAAAAUAAAACCAUUUUUUGCUUUUGUAUUUCACUACCAAUGUCAACGAUUGGUUUGAAAAUGUGACCAUUACAUGGAAGCAAAUACGUCUUCCUUGAAAUGUUCUUGAUAUUGCAAUUCAGUUUAAUAGGAGAAUAAUAUAGUAUAUCGACAUGCUUGUUCGAGACAGACUAUUUCUGUCCAUCCCAUUUGGAUUAUUGUAUGUGCACCUUGCAGAGGGUUAGAACUCCAGAGAGGAGCAGAAAACUUCAAUAACAAUUCACUUUGAGCUCUAAUAAUGUUAAACGGAGAUGGAAACUAACUUCAUUUCUCCCCAUGCAGGCACCCUGGCCUAUAGAGGAGUUUGAUUAUAAUAGAGCAUAAUGGGAUCUGUGAAGUGCAUUGUGUCCUCUGUCUGGACAAGUUGGGCAAUUUGGUAAAUUUCAGCACAUUUACCAUAGUACAAUUUCAGAGUGAAUGUUCUCUGGCCCAGAAACACUUUUUGUCAAACAUAUUAAUCAAUAAAAAAAAUGUUCUGAGCCUCAAAUGCAUGAAAAAAAGGCAUUAUUUAUUACUUAUAACUAUUAAUAAAAAGUUAUUAUUAAAUGCCACCAACAAUCUGUGUGUUCCAAUAUGUAUGAACAUAUGGAUCCGUGUCAGUAAGCACUGCCGCCAGGCCUCCAGGUUAGGCCCGAGAAAGAUCCUUAUGCAAAUGCAUUAUGUGCCAAGAAAGCAAUAACCAUUGGUAGGAAUGGGGCGCCAUCUUGGAAGACCUCACUGAAAAUCUCCUAGAGCAAUUCAUUCUACCCUCCAUGUCAAGAGAAUGUGUUUACUGCACCCAGGAUCUCGUAUCUCAUAUGUAAAUAUGAGAAGUACUAGAUGAUUGCCAGACAGCCAACAAGUCGCCGUACCGGAAGGACUAAGCAUGUUAUUAGUGAUAUCGGAAUCAGCCGAUAAACCUCAUCCAAAGAAGGCAGGAUUAUAGAAAUGCAUUAAUGUUAGCAGCCUCACAGCAUGGAUGUAGACUUUCCUGCUUUUUCUGCAAAUUAAUUUUUGGUCAUUACUUUUUUGGUGGUCGCAAACUGACCUGUUCACCUGUUAAAAACAAACGAUCCGCGCAGAUCUCCGCCCUUGGUCUUGUUGUGGUGGUGUGUCAACAUCACGAGACUUUCACUUCUUCUGCUUAAAGAAUGCAUUUAUUAUUUUUCCUUAAAGAAAAAGUCGUAAACUAAAACUAUUUCAAGGUUCUCAACAUUCCUCCAAAGCUGACAUAUUUUCCUCACAGCAUUGGCUUUCGCGUCAUCAUGUUGCUUCAUCACAAAGCGGUAAAGACUAAUGAGAAGAGCGGGGCUCAGCUUUUCUUCUCGCUUCCCAUCGGGCUGACAUUGUGAGCACAGUGACUCAUUGCUGAUCCGCUACUCUGGCUCCGCUCUGCUCGAAAGGAAAGAAAGAAAUGCAUUUUAUGUUCCUGGUGGUGCACGCCGGCACGCUCACAUCCAUUGUGCCCACACAUGUGUGAAAUUAAAGCCAUCACAGCCUCACAUCUGACUGAGAACGCCAUUUCUCUUGGUAAAACAUUUCGGUUGCAGAAGUAUCGGCGAAGACACAUUUUCUUGCUUUGAUGGUCCGCGAGUCACGGAGGUAAUAGCAACAAGAUGCAUCUACACGCACCGUGGGUGGUGUCAUCGGGAUGCGGGCGUGCGUGUGUUUCCAUAUGUGUGUGUGUGCACGUGAACACUAGCUGGCGAACGUGUGUAUGUGUAUCCAUAUUCAUUAGAAGCAAGAGGGAGAUUCCAAUAACGAUUGUGUCAGUUGAGAUUAAAGAGAUUGACCUUUGGUGACUUCAAGUGGAGCAGAUGUGUGUGUGUGUGUGUGUGUGUGUGUGUGUGUGUGUCAUUUGUGUGUGAGACAGAACAAGACAGAGAGAGAUUCUGACAAUGAAGUAGGAGAGGAAAUAAAAGGAGGAGGUAAGGAAGUGAAAAGGGACUCAGGAACGUCACCUGCGGCAUCGACGUAUCCAAGGUAACGCUGCUUUGUUUUGUAUCAGCAGGUGAGACCCAAGCUGUUCUGUCGACAAUGGUGGAAAACGCCGCGAAUUGGCCGAACGUCCUCACAUUCAUUCCGGGCUGGAGUGACAAAUUAUAAAGCAGGGAACAUUUAAAUCAUUAGUUGAUUGGUUUUGGCCGCCUGGGGGAUUUGGACAAAGCUGUAAACAAAACACCUCAUAAAGUUGUUUUGGAGAAAAGGUUUGAAGAACAGAUUGCUCUUACGUAUUCAACACACUGGAGGCGUUAUUAGCAUUCACUGGAGUUGUGUUUCUGUCCACCUGAUUGAUCUACAUCCAAUAUUGACUUUAUUUAAAGCUCCGUUCUGACCUCAAACAACUCUUGAGGGAAAUAUGUGACUCUUUAGACGCUCCUUGGUGUUUACCAGCCUGUCGCUAACUUUGUCAGCGUGACACACAGCGGCUUUAUCAGAGCUUUUUCACUCAAUAUAGCUGCCUGCUGCAGCUGAAAAGGAAGUUGAUGAGAGAAACCAAACAAUGAGCUGAAAGAUGAUGAAACACUCCAACAAUCUUGGCUAUAGAAUUGGGUGGUAAUUGUGAUCAUUACGGCGAGCAAGACACUUUUACGUGAUUAGUUCAGCCUUAAACAGAUUCAUUGCAAUCCAUUCUCUUCAUUUCCUGUUAAUAAUUACUUUUGCUUCUUUGCUAGAAAUUCUUUCCCGUACCAUUUGUGCACAUCUGCAUUACAUUUCACUAACAUUUGUUAACUAUAUAUCCAUAUCUAUCUAACAGCUUUGGAAAUUCCCGCUGCAGCAGAAACAUUCAUUUUCAACCUCCUCCCUUCUGCUCCAUGAACACGGCAGGGCACAGUGCAAGCGGGUCUAUUCUGGGAAUAGUUAAUGCAGUUUCAGCUUAGAUCUCUCACACACACACACACACACACACACACACAAACACACACACACACACACACCGGCAAGCAAACAAAACCAAUUAGCGUGUAACUGCAGCUCAAAAUGGCUUGUAGACAGCCGACGGAAUCAUCAUUACAGAGCAAACCAAUCAGUAAAUGUUCAUUAUGCAUCAAAUGAUGAGCACUAACUAAACAAACAUUUGGAGGGCGAUCAUGUCGGCGGUACCAAACUGCUAAAAUGUCAGAUUUUCGGUUGAAUUGCCUUCAUUCAACUACCCAGGUAAAUACAGUCAGAUUGGCUCAUCUUAAAUUUGAUGUGUUCCAAUUAAAAUUUUGAAUCCUGAGUGGCAACUUAACACACACCAAAACACGCGCUAAAACACACUCCAUGUUCAGCAGUACAAGCGCACAUAUGUUCAUUAAGAUAUAUAAUUUGAAUUUUCCCAACAAGCGGUGGAAGUGAGUAGUUAAAUGGCACUUAGAAGUGCACUUUGAGCUGAAUCAAGCCUAUUUUUGCUGUAAACCGUUGCUUGCUGCAGUUAAAAAUGAGGUGAGACUUCACGUAAGUAGACUUAUUAUUCAAGGGUUUAUCACUGAGAGCAACACCUUUCAGAUCAAACAUAGUCAGUUGCAUUGAUAUUUAAAAAUAUUGAUAGGUGUAACAGUAUGUCAGGUUAAAGUUGAUAAGUGUCUACUGUGAUACGAUGUCGUACUAAGUCCUGCAUCUAUUCAGAUGAAUGAAUUACCCCAUUUAUAUUUUCCUUUGUGAACUAAUAGCCCAGGGUAAAACAUUAUUCAAAAGUUUUACGAAUAGCCUUUUUCACUUCCAGAGCAUGAAAUUCAAAGAAAUGAUUGGAGGGGAGUACGGGCACUUAUUAUUAUUUUUUUUUUUACACUCAGCUCAGAAAAACAGUUAAAUUGAUUCAAAUUCAAGGUAACAAGCGCGAGUGUACCCGAGGCGUCAGCUUUCCUGACAAGCAGCUCGCCGUGUCUCUUUGUGCCCAAUUGUCUGCUUCAAACCAAAUGGAUUGGGGUGGAGAGGAACACUGUUGGAUCAAUGUGCUGUCUAGGAGGGAAAAAAGUGGGGAAUGAAAGUGAUAAUGGUAAGAAGUGUACAAGACACACACACACACACACACAGUCCUUUUCUCAGGCCACAGUCUCACAUGCCGACUGGAAGACUCGCUGUUCUUUUCAAUCACCCACUCGGCUUGUCGUACUUUCACACAUACACACACACACGCACACACACGCGCACACACAGGAGUGGGUUCAGUCUUGAUUUGAGCUGUUCUGUCAGUCUCUCACAACGGAUUUUUUAUUCCAGCUUUAUGCUGCCAAGAAAACAACAAAAGUUUCUUCCGCGCUUCGUUUUAUUCUCUCAGACAAACAGCUGUCUGUCACCCAUGCACGCACACACACACACACACACACACACAUGGGCACGCACACACGCAUGGACACACUGAUGAAUUCCCUUGGUUGUCUUAUUGCAUCUGCCAAUCAAAUCCCUCUUUAUUCCUGUGCGUUUUGCAUCCGGGCUCCAGAGGAUUUGUGUUGUGUGGGUGGACAAAGCAGCGAUGUCGCCAUUUCUUCUUUUUCUUCUUUCUCUGUGUAACUGAUUAACCCCGACCCCUCCGAUCUAUACAUCCUAAGCUAUAAGCUAUAAUAUAUAUACAGUCAUGUCUGCCCGGUGGGAAAGGCUCGUGUACAUUUAUGGAUUUUGUCGUGCCGCUGUCACAUUGUGCCUCUCAAAGUGCAUUCGCGUUUCUGCAUUGUGACACUGGUGACAGCACAACAGGACCCUCCAAGUCAGAGCUGCUUCCAUCCCUGCAGAUCUUUACAUCAUUCAAGCUUUUCUUUUUUUCUCCAAAGUAGCAGGCCGUAAACAGUUUAAACUCACACCUUGGAUCCCUGAAUGAUCCUCUGACUGACAGUCACGCGGCUCUUCAUCUCUCUCACGGAUGCCCCUCGGCGGCUCUGCUAUCAUACGGGCGAAGGAGCGAAGCAAAGGGAGCAUCGAGCCGGGAAAGAAUACAGAAAGUCCAGUGAAAACUCCUGAGAGGAAAAAAAAGAGCAGCUUUGUUCACUGAUCCACAAAGCGGCACGCAGAAACACAGGAAUGUUGCAGGCGAAUAGAAAUGUGUGCCUCUGCGUUUUUGUUUUUAUGGUUUUGUGAGCUUCAGAGCGUCUCGGUGUAUCUACGGAACUCACCUACUCCCUCUGCUGGGAUUAUUUUCACAGAAUGCGUCCACAUGGCACUUCCAUGUGGGGAGGGGGGGGGUUGGCUUCAUUGGUUUAUUUACUCUCGGCCGGACAGGAGAGCGCGUUCGCUGAGUGGUCCGAUACUUGGGGCCCGAUCAAAGAGCCCAAGCUGUUUUUUUUUAGGAUAACUACCCGUAAAGAUGUGAGGCCAGGGGCUAUUUCUGCUGCACCGAGAGUCCCGGUAAGCUCCCUGGGGGCUGUAAUGGGAUUGAGAAGGAGGACAGAAUGGGGGGGUUAAGACAACAGAGGUUUGUGGGGAGGUAAAGAGAGUUUGAUAAAGUGUGAGUCUGUGAAUCUGUGGCGCUGCCCAGCUUAAAAAAACGCAGGUCGUCCGCUCGGACCGGCAGGUAUCGCGAGGCUCCAGCUUAAAGAGGCACGUUUCAAUCCCACUGCCAGAGCUGCACAGCUGUUUGGCUGCUAGGUCUUUGGGAGAUUGUGUACCUGUGUGUAAAAUGUGUGUAUUUCCUUCUGGCGGAACGUGCUUUUGGACACACGAGGCCGUCCGCAUACAUACGCUUUAAGGAGAUUUACGGCAUCUCUUGAAAACAAAGCCGCUGUGCAGAGCGUUGAGAGACGAUUCUGCUGGUUUCCUGCAGCUCGGCGGCGUCACGGGUAUCUGUGGCAGAAGUGUAAUCAGGGCUGUGUGUGUCCUCCGGGGCUCUAAGUGAGGGAUGUUGUCAUUCUACACAGAGCCGGGGCCGGCUAGUUUUGCCCGGAGAUGGCCUGAUCAUUUACAUUGACACUGAUGGCGCCAUUAGCCAGCUGCUAGCAACCCCGUCAGACAUGUUUUUUUUUUUACGAGGCACAGUGAGUCUCUGAACGCUUCCCUGUUUGCUCUGUGUAUCUUUCAUUGUUAGUUUAUUUAACAAUUUGAAGGUCACGAUUCAACGAGAGCAGCUCAGAUUUGCCGUGAGAAAGACGUGCCAUUAUGACAGCAGACGUGUCAUUUUCAAAAUGUCAGAAGAGAUUGGUUAUCACCGCCGCCGGAGGCCUCUGUUUACCGAUCACUGACGAACGGCAGCUUGGGUAGUUGUUUUGAUGCGCAGGCACAAAUGUGGUCUUAAUAAAACAGUCAUGGAGUCGUGCACUGCAUUCCGAUUGGUCAAUCCGGAAGUUAGUCUCGCUCUAUUUCCCUGAGCUAAAAGCCAAUGGGAUGUUUCCUUUGGAUUUUGGACCGUUGAAGGAUAUAAACUCCGUGGCGAAAAAGCGUGUGUGAUACUUCAGCGGGAUAAUCUUCACAAACGAAGAGCACUUAGAUGAUUUUUGAAGCGUGAAUGGAUUCGUCGGGAGUAAAAAGUGAUGAUGUUUAGUGUUCUCAUUCAGCUGCUCGUCGGUCAGCAAAACAGCUUUUCAGGACACAUAAAGGCUACACAAUUUCCAUGAGGGGUAUUUACAGACAUAUUAUAUUUUAGAACAUUAAGCUGAUAUCUCUUGAGCUUUAUUGGAGAACAUACCUUAUUUCAGGCGUCCAUGUAACAGCAAACGCUGACUCUGAGAUGAAGGAAAUGGAAGUGCAAGAACCAUUUUCGUAUCGCAGGACUCAUAUCUGCAGAACUCUGCAGCUUUUCUCUGACUUGUCAAGCAGAUGUGUGAGUGAAAAAAACGCUGAAGCACUCUUUGGAUUUAUCUUUAAAAAGACAUCGUUACAAACAACAGCGCAAGAACAUUAAAACCGACAACCAAAGCGUCUUUUUCCCUCUUAAAUGACGACUCUCUUUAAGGUUGUCUUCUCAGAUCUCCAAACCAUCCUACUCAUUCAAUGCAAACAUGCAGAAAUGAGCUGUAAACAACAGGAGCUCAGGGGGCGGGCGAGUCUCCUUCAGCCACCAAGUCUGGACACAAUACAGGUCUAUAACUGAGCAGCCAAAUACUUGAAAGGCAGAUCUCCUUGUGACAGAUCACAGGAUGAUAUGUGUGUCUGAGUAUGUGUUCGUUAAUGGUGGGGAGAUAAAGAUGAGAGGAGAAACCUUAAUUCGGGCACUUUCGAGGAAUCUCACUUUGAUUACCAUCUUUUGAUAUAUGUGACAAGAUACAAGACACGCCAGGAAAGUUCAGCUUCGUUUUUCUCACACGUUCCUGAUUAAAUCAGUUGUACAAAUUUAGUGAUACACCAAGACUGGCAGUGUAGUUGAGUUGCUCCACGGGUGUUUUGCAGCACCCCACUGCACCUAAAUGUUUAGGGUGGAUUGAAUCCAGAGGUCAAAUGUCAUGUUUCUACCUGAAUAGGAAGCUCUGGAGGCAAAGCAAGUGAACUGACAGAGACCUUUUUUGCCAAAUAAGGUUUAGGCAACAUGAACAUUUGCAGCAAGGCUUGGGUAUUUUAAACGUACAUUUUACUUGGGUUUAUACAAUGCAUAAAUUGUAAUAAUUAUAUAGUAAAACAUAAUAUGCGACAUGUGUGACACAAAUGUAAACCCAUUUAGCUGAUAUGUUGGGCUGUUCUCUGGCUUGGAGCGGUUACCAGGCAACCGGUGGAGAUUCUUAGAAAUAACUGGUCAAGAAGUAUUUGGCAAAUCUGGCGAAUAAAACCUAAUGCAAAAUAAACCUAAAUUUUCUAAACAUUAAACGUUAAGAUUUAUUUUUGUGCUUACAGAUGUUAUGUUUGGGUACCUGAACCUAAGCACCUUUCUCUCAGUGCAUAUGCUCAGCUGUUACGACAGUUUGAAAGUCAUUUCCAUCAGCCUUAAGUCACUUAGUUCUUUUGUCAAGUUAAUGUCAGUCACCCAGACACAGCAAACAACCGCUCUUUUAAUUGGAAACGCCACAACCUUUGUGGGAGGAUUUGUGUACGGGGGAGUUUCAUUUGAGGGAAAUGAGUCAUAGAGCGUUUCAUUAAAAAAAAGGGUAGCGUGAGGCUGACUUAGGGUGGAUUUAAAAGUAAUGGUUUGUCAAAGCUCAGCAGCGGAGCUUAAUGUGUCAUCAGUUGUCGGCUUCAAAGGGGAUUGAUAUAAGUCUGAGGUUUAUCACUGUGAGUCAAAAAUAACUGUGGAAGCACACUUUAAUAAUCACAAAUUACUUCUCUAAUUUAUUCUAGGUCACACUUAAUGCAUGAGAUGGUGGUAACUUAUUUGGAUCCGCUUUACAGCCUCAUCCUUUUAAGCAUCGGCCAAGAUCGGUGUUACAUUUAAUGCACGACUGCAUUGUGGCCGUAUGAAUUUCCAUCAGCUUGUGCGUGAGGUGAUGUUUUUAUUUUUACCGCAAACAAAUGGACAAUCAGCGUUCACGGUAUUUUUUUUUCCACAUGUAUUAUGCAUCCUGGUUGACCUCAUAUUACUACAGGUCUUACUCCCAAGGGAUUAGCACGUCUCAUUCGCAUCGGCUGUUGCAGCCUCAGUGAAUGUAAAUGCAGACGGCGUCUAACUGCGUCCAUAAGGGCACAGGGGAGACUGUCCUGCUCUCCAGCCCAUUAAAGAGGACUCCAUUAUCUGCACUCUGUACUAGUAACACACACACACACACACACACACACACACACACGACAGCAAGCAGACGAUGAGCACAUAAAGUAGUCCACCUUAAGUAGCUCCCUUCCAACGCCACGCCAUGCAUAUUUUAUAAGAGGCGGCAUUAAAAGCCAAUGGAAUAAGGAAUGGCUGGCUAGGUAGCUGGGUUAGCUCCACGCCCUACUUCCCUUCUAGUUCAGACACCUUUUGCUUUUGUUGCUGAGAACCGGACACAGGGAUCGUUGAGCGAGCGAGACGGCAUCAAAGGCGAAGACGAAGAGGACCAAUGGCCCAACAACUGCUCACCCGGGACAGGAUUGGUUGCUGAAUAAAGAUGCCUGAGUAUCUCUUUUCUCUGUGUUUUUCCUUUCCCCUCAUUUACAACCUUUCCCGCUGGAGUUUUCACACCAACAGUAAAGUGGAGGCAAGGUCAAACCUGCAGAUGUGUUUUAAUACCUGGGGGGCGGAUCAGCCCUCCAGCUGAGAGACGGCGUACCGCUGUGCAUUGAACACACUGGACAGAGACCAAGAAACUGUACGUCGCUCACAAUAGCAGCUGGGUGGCAGCUUCGGCGUUUGAUGGUUUUAGUCGGAGUUUGCAUGUAUUUGUUUUUAUCGGCAUUUGAUUUGCUGUGUACUGAGGUUUGCAACAUGUUCCUGCCCGGUAAGUCAACGACCGGCGGUGUGAGUGACACGGGCGGGUCGUUCUGUGUGACACACUUUGGGGGGGGGGUACGGCAUUCGGAGGUCAGCCACGAGUCAGUUCUGUCGUACACACUCUGAACACUCACAACUCUCUUAUUCCCUGCGCUGUUCGCCCUCAUCUCUGAGAAUAAAUAUUUAACUUUGACCCCAGCUUUGUCCUUCAGCCUGGAAGCGGUCUGCAUGUGUGUAUCUCUGAGUGUACUUGCUCAUAAAAGACUGGAAGUGUAGCUGAACUAUUUAGUUUAUUUUUGGGUUAACCCGGCAAUUGAAUGCUUGUAAAUUAACACUUUGAGAUUCCCCAACAUCUAACAUCUCAGACCUGCUCAUGAAUUUCCCAAGCCAAGUUUAUUGAAUCGGCCAAUAGUUAACUUUUAACAACCUGUGCACAUCCCAGCGACCUUGCUAUUGUGUUGAUUUAAUAAGCAGUGCAGCCUUUAUUCCAGUGAAAAGCGUGUUUGUUUCAGCGAUCAUUCUCAAGACUAAACCAGAGCAACACGGGACCUUCUGACGUUGACUUAACGCUUGUUACAUAAAAUUAAUAAGAAUGUCUGCUAAAGUGAGACUACAUCACUCGAAUCCAAACCACUAUGUUUUUUUGAAUCUUAACCAAGUACUUUUGUGGCCUGAACCUAGCCAAUUGUUUCAAAAUGUUAACCACAUGACAUUGUGUUUUCUGCAAGCUACAAGGCUGACAUCAAACAUAUAUCUGACUCGGAAAAUGACAUUCAACAAAUCUUGCGGAUUGCCUUUAAAGUGCAAUGCCAAUAAUCUUAUUCUGGCAUCUGGGUUUCAUAGAGCUGCAAAUGAAAAAGUUAGAAUGGAGAAAAGCGUAUUCCUGACCGCCGUGAAGUUUGCUUUAGGAACACAAAGAGCUUGCUUGUGUUUAGGGAAAGGCCGUGGUUUGGUUUGGAACAAUCACUUAGGGGACGGUUAGGAGACCUUUGCCGCCCCCGUUGACAAUAGAACCCACUUUGGUUACGGGUCGAGAACAAGAGGGCUUUGUCACUUGAAUUUAACGGUUUUGGGCCGAUUCCUGAAACAAGAGUUUUUUUCUUCUUGGGAGAACAGUUUCCAUUUUACUUCCUUUUAUUUCAAACACCGACAUAUGCAGCCAUUAUUCACUUCAUUACGAUCUACUUCCGUCCAAAAGCACCUUUUUCUAGCCUGGAGAGUAUUGUGGUUAUAUUGGCUGUGUCUGGUUGGCCUUCGAUGUGUGAAAACAGGAAAAAGCUUCGUUACAGUUUGUCACGGUUGCGUUGAGAUCAGGGAGGCAGUUUGGCGUCUCGGAAAACCAAACGGUCCAAUAGAGAUGUAACCUGGCAGCACGCACCUCCCGGACUCCAGGUUGGCCACCGAGGUGUGUGUGUGUAUGUACGGCUGGCAUGUUCGGUGGCCAUCUGCAAAGCAACAAGGGCUCUGGCCAAGGUGUGCACAGACACACACGCACACACAGGGAGUCACCUACAUGCAAGCAUAUGCACACACCCAUGUUGCUGCAACUUGUCAAAGUGCGGGUCUGGGCAUGUGUGAUCCAAGUGAGAAAUAAUCACUCUCGAUGCAAAGAUCAAAAUCAUCUUUCCAGGAAAAUAGGCAGCUCCCUCCUGAACAAAGGCCCCCCCAGCAAAAACAUGCUCUCCGUCUCUCAAGAUCCCUCGCGCACACACAGACACACACACACACCCUACACACACACAAAUAUACGCUGCAAUAUUAAGGAAUGUGAGUAAUAUCCCUGCAGGCAAAUCAGUAAUAUUGGCCAGCGCAGAUCUAAGAUGUUGUAUUAUUCAAAUCCUCUGACUCCUGCAAUCAGCUAGAAGAAAUAUAUAAAACAUGAAAUAUAAAUGUCUGGGAUUUCAACGCGAACGGUUUGGUGUUGCCAAGGGGACAUGAAAGUUCAUUACAGACGUUUAAGUGAUUUGGCAGCGAUCAAGACGGCGAUGCUUCAUUGCCAAUGUUAUUGUUUGAAAAGUCUAGAUUAGCACCUUAAUGCCGCAGGUCUAUUGAUAGUGAUUAUGAGCUUAGCUGAACAAAGACAUUGGUGAUCGUACACAUUUAGGUGAUGAAAACGAUGCCAGAACAGGCCGGUCAAUCAAAGCCGCGAUCGCGCAGCUCUUUCAUGUUAAUCCCUUGGUGCGGCGCCGCUGAAGAUACUUGGAAUCAUUACUUAACACCAACAAGACAAAGAUCCCUGCCCCGUCCGUCCUCUCGGCCUCCGUUUGUUUGCACAAAUGCAAAGUGAGGCAGUUAUAGAUCAUAUUCGUUGAAUACGCUGAAGCUGAUUAGUGAGGAAGAAUUAAAGGCCCCCAAAGCUGCUUUUCCUAAAUCCGAGAUUAGUCAAAUAAUAAGACGCGUGUCUUCCUGCUCGCACACUCACACAUGGACAAAACGCUGGCUUUGGCUCCGUCCUGACAACCGAGCUGGUAUCUCCACUCCCUCAGAACCGUCCCUUGGCCCCGGUAGUGACAGCCCUGACUGGGAGAAGUCGCAGCGAGCCAGUAAGGCUUAUUGGCAGACCAGUGUUUCCAGUGUGAGACGUGCCGGGGAAUCUAGCUAGCGUGUCGCGCAGUGCAGAGUUGAGGAUUAACCUACUAGCACAAUUGCAGAAGUUCCAAGCUUUUUUCUUUUUCUCUCAGAAGCUGCUGGAUUUAUUUAUUUGUCUACUACGGUUCACUUAUUCAAAUAUGACUGGAAACAUGCACACAAACAGACACACUAUUAACCUCAGGGCAAACUGUUAUAUUGUGAAAAGCAGAAGAAUUUACCAUGGUUACAUUUGAAGUUAGUGAUGUAACUCCAUUUUCUCCCGAAUAAGCCUAAAAAUACAUCAUUGAGAUGAGAAGUAAAAAUGUAGAAAAAAGCUACGUGCAUAUUCCAGCAGUCAUAUUUUUAGGAAUUUUAAUCUAGUCUACCAUGCCUGAAAUAAAAAAAGUUAAAAAGAGACAAAAAAAGAUCUAGAUGAUGAGAACACAGAUAUAAAGCCAAUGCACAUGCAAAGGGAAGCAAAGCAGAGCAAAUAGAAAAUACAAUUAUCCGUGUCUGUUUGACCCGGGGGAAUUCACAGUAUAAUGCCGGUGGAUCCAAUUCACUUGCAAAAGAGUUGAGCAGGAUGUAAAGCUCGAUUCACAGCCAACUCAGACCAUGAAAAAAACCAACCGUUCACACAGACAAAGAGCUGCUGCAUCUCCACUCCAUGUGAGAACGACUGCUUGGAAUCUGCAUGAGGGGCAGAGGCACCCUGGGUAAAAACAAACACUAUAUGUACGUUGGCCUUGAUUGUCCUUUCAAACAAACACUGUGAAAGAGGACGGGGACGGCAUACGGUUUUGAGGACCGGCUACUCACCCGACAUAAGAGGGAGAUCAGGGGGCGCAACCAUUAACAUAUUCUUUUCAAAAAAGAGUCUACUCACUGGACCGUGCAUGGAGCCCUUUUUCAAAAAGAGCCCGUCUCAUACUGCUGUGAAAUGAGGUGAAAAUAAGCAGACUUAAAAGAGACGGCUUGGGAGG